rnacentral:rRNA from 1 species
UACGUAGGCAGCAAGCGUUGUUCGGAAUUACUGGGCGUAAAGAGUGCGUAGGCGGUUAACUAAGUUUGGUGUGAAAUCUCCCGGCUUAACUGGGAGGGUGCGCCGAAAACUGGCUAGCUAGAGUGUGGGAGAGGAUAGUGGAAUUCCUGGUGUAGCGGUGAAAUGCGCAGAUAUCAGGAAGAACACCCGUGGCUAAGGCGGCUCUCUAGUACGGUACUGACGCUGAGACGCGAAAGCGUGGGGAGCGAACAGG